rnacentral:rRNA from 1 species
AAUCCAUAGGUUAAUGAGGCGAACCGGGGGAACUGAAACAUCUAAGUACCCCGAGGAAAAGAAAUCAACCGAGAUUCCCCCAGUAGCGGCGAGCGAACGGGGAGGAGCCCAGAGCCUGAAUCAGCAUGUGUGUUAGUGGAAGCGUCUGGAAAGGCGCGCGAUACAGGGUGACAGCCCCGUACACAAAAGCGCAUGUGCUGUGAGCUCGAUGAGUAGGGCGGGACACGUGGUAUCCUGUCUGAAUAUGGGGGGACCAUCCUCCAAGGCUAAAUACUCCUGACUGACCGAUAGUGAACCAGUACCGUGAGGGAAAGGCGAAAAGAACCCCGGCGAGGGGAGUGAAAAAGAACCUGAAACCGUGUACGUACAAGCAGUGGGAGCACAGGUUUACCUGUGUGACUGCGUACCUUUUGUAUAAUGGGUCAGCGACUUAUAUUCUGUAGCAAGGUUAACCGAAUAGGGGAGCCGGAGGGAAACCGAGUCUUAAUUGGGCGUUAAGUUGCAGGGUAUAGACCCGAAACCCGGUGAUCUAGCCAUGGGCAGGUUGAAGGUUGGGUAACACUAACUGGAGGACCGAACCGACUAAUGUUGAAAAAUUAGCGGAUGACCUGUGGCUGGGGGUGAAAGGCCAAUCAAACCGGGAGAUAGCUGGUUCUCCCCGAAAGCUAUUUAGGUAGCGCCUCGUGAAUUCAUCUCCGGGGGUAGAGCACUGUUUCGGCUAGGGGGCCAUCCCGGCUUACCAACCCGAUGCAAACUGCGAAUACCGGAGAAUGUUAUCACGGGAGACACACGGCGGGUGCUAACGUCCGUCGUGAAGAGGGAAACAACCCAGACCGCCAGCUAAGGUCCCAAAGUCAUGGUUAAGUGGGAAACGAUGUGGGAAGGCCCAGACAGCCAGGAUGUUGGCUUAGAAGCAGCCAUCAUUUAAAGAAAGCGUAAUAGCUCACUGGUCGAGUCGGCCUGCGCGGAAGAUGUAACGGGGCUAAACCAUGCACCGAAGCUGCGGCAGCGAACGUAUCACUUAAAGCGAUUCAGCGGGUUACGAUUGACGGAGCGAAGCGACGUCAAAGCGUAUACAAAGUCGAGUCGGUUUAAGGAUACGUUCGUUGGGUAGGGGAGCGUUCUGUAAGCCUGUGAAGGUGGCCUGUGAGGGUUGCUGGAGGUAUCAGAAGUGCGAAUGCUGACAUAAGUAACGAUAAAGCGGGUGAAAAGCCCGCUCGCCGGAAGACCAAGGGUUCCUGUCCAACGUUAAUCGGGGCAGGGUGAGUCGACCCCUAAGGCGAGGCCGAAAGGCGUAGUCGAUGGGAAACAGGUUAAUAUUCCUGUACUUGGUGUUACUGCGAAGGGGGGACGGAGAAGGCUAUGUUGGCCGGGCGACGGUUGUCCCGGUUUAAGCGUGUAGGUGUGUGUUCCAGGUAAAUCCGGUUCACUUUAACACUGAGGCGUGAUGACGAGGCACUACGGUGCUGAAGCAACAAAUGCCCUGCUUCCAGGAAAAGCCUCUAAGCAUCAGGUAACAUCAAAUCGUACCCCAAACCGACACAGGUGGUCAGGUAGAGAAUACCAAGGCGCUUGAGAGAACUCGGGUGAAGGAACUAGGCAAAAUGGUGCCGUAACUUCGGGAGAAGGCACGCUGACACGUAGGUGAAGUGAUUUACUCAUGGAGCUGAAGUCAGUCGAAGAUACCAGCUGGCUGCAACUGUUUAUUAAAAACACAGCACUGUGCAAACACGAAAGUGGACGUAUACGGUGUGACGCCUGCCCGGUGCCGGAAGGUUAAUUGAUGGGGUCAGCGCAAGCGAAGCUCCUGAUCGAAGCCCCGGUAAACGGCGGCCGUAACUAUAACGGUCCUAAGGUAGCGAAAUUCCUUGUCGGGUAAGUUCCGACCUGCACGAAUGGCGUAAUGAUGGCCAGGCUGUCUCCACCCGAGACUCAGUGAAAUUGAACUCGCUGUGAAGAUGCAGUGUACCCGCGGCAAGACGGAAAGACCCCGUGAACCUUUACUAUAGCUUGACACUGAACAUUGAGCCUUGAUGUGUAGGAUAGGUGGGAGGCUUUGAAGUGUGGACGCCAGUCUGCAUGGAGCCGACCUUGAAAUACCACCCUUUAAUGUUUGAUGUUCUAACGUGGACCCGUAAUCCGGGUUGCGGACAGUGUCUGGUGGGUAGUUUGACUGGGGCGGUCUCCUCCUAAAGAGUAACGGAGGAGCACGAAGGUUGGCUAAUCCUGGUCGGACAUCAGGAGGUUAGUGCAAUGGCAUAAGCCAGCUUGACUGCGAGCGUGACGGCGCGAGCAGGUGCGAAAGCAGGUCAUAGUGAUCCGGUGGUUCUGAAUGGAAGGGCCAUCGCUCAACGGAUAAAAGGUACUCCGGGGAUAACAGGCUGAUACCGCCCAAGAGUUCAUAUCGACGGCGGUGUUUGGCACCUCGAUGUCGGCUCAUCACAUCCUGGGGCUGAAGUAGGUCCCAAGGGUAUGGCUGUUCGCCAUUUAAAGUGGUACGCGAGCUGGGUUUAGAACGUCGUGAGACAGUUCGGUCCCUAUCUGCCGUGGGCGCUGGAGAACUGAGGGGGGCUGCUCCUAGUACGAGAGGACCGGAGUGGACGCAUCACUGGUGUUCGGGUUGUCAUGCCAAUGGCACUGCCCGGUAGCUAAAUGCGGAAGAGAUAAGUGCUGAAAGCAUCUAAGCACGAAACUUGCCCCGAGAUGAGUUCUCCCUGAGACUUAGAGUCUCCUGAAGGAACGUUGAAGACGACGACGUUGAUAGGCCGGGUGUGUAAGCGCAGCGAUGCGUUGAGCUAACCGGUACUAAUGAACCGUGAGG